rnacentral:rRNA from 1 species
GACGAACGCUGGCGGCAUGCCUAACACAUGCAAGUCGAACGAGUGGCGGACGGGUGAGUAAUGUCUGGGCAACUGCCUGAUGGAGGGGGCAAACUACUGGAACCGGUAGCUACUACCGCAUACCAUCAGAUGUGCCCAGAUGGGAUUAGCUUGUUGGUGGGGUAACGGCAGACCAAGGGGUCGCUCCCUAGCUGGUCUGAGAGGAUGACCAGCCACACUGGAACUGAGACACGGUCCAGACUCCUACGGGAGGCAGCAGUGGGGAAUAUUGCACAAUGGGCGAAAGCCUGAUGCAGCCAUGCCGCGUGUAUGAAGAAGGCCUUCGGAUUGUAAAGUACUUUCAUCGGGGAGGCGUUACCCGCAGAAGAAGCACCGGCUAACUCCGUGCCAGCAGCCGCGGUAAUAC